CCUACGGGAGGCAGCAGUAGGGAAUCUUCCACAAUGGGCGAAAGUCUGAUGGAGCAACGCCGCGUGGGUGAAGAAGGUCUUCGGAUCGUAAAACCCUGUUGUUAGAGAAGAACGUGCGUGAGAGUAACUGUUCACGUUUCGACGGUAUCUAACCAGAAAGCCACGGCUAACUACGUGCCAGCAGCCGCGGUAAUACGUAGGUGGCAAGCGUUAUCCGGAUUUAUUGGGCGUAAAGGGAGCGCAGGCGGUCUUUUAAGUCUGAUGGGAAAGCCUUCGGCUUAACCGGAGUAGGUCAUUGGAAACUGGGAGACUUGAGUGCAGAAGAGGAGAGUGGAAUUCCAGGUGUAGCGGUGAAAUGCGUAGAUAUAUGGAAGAACACCAGUGGCGAAGGCGGCUCUCUGGUCUGUAACUGACGCUGAGGUUCGAAAGCGUGGGUAGCAAACAGGAUUAGAUACCCGAGUAGUC
rnacentral:rRNA from 1 species